UACGUAGGGGGCUAGCGUUGUCCGGAAUCAUUGGGCGUAAAGCGCGUGUAGGCGGUCCGGUAAGUCCGCUGUGAAAGUCGGGGGCUCAACCCUCGAAUGCCGGUGGAUACUGUCGGGCUAGAGUACGGAAGAGGCGAGUGGAAUUCCUGGUGUAGCGGUGAAAUGCGCAGAUAUCAGGAGGAACACCAAUUGCGAAGGCAGCUCGCUGGGACGUUACUGACGCUGAGGCGCGACAGCGUGGGGAGCAAACAGG
rnacentral:rRNA from 1 species